AUCUAUGGCCAUACCACUUUGAAUGCACCCGAUCUCGCUGACCUUGGAAGCUAAGCAGGGACGGGCCUGGUUAGUGCUUGGAUGGGAGCCAAAAGUAGGUGGCUGGCCAGAUA
rnacentral:rRNA from 1 species